rnacentral:lncRNA from 1 species
UGUCGCUCGAAGCUAUCGCUCGUCACCAUUGCACACAAAAUUGUUCUCAUGAGGUUUAGCCUUACACGUGUGUACUGUUUGUGUGCACUACAGCACGGUGCACACGCCGGCCAUGGUGGCUGGCAUGUGCACCAUGCUGUAAGUGAUGGAUCCUGUGUAUUAUCCCCAGGCUCUAACAAUGCAAAAGGGCUUCUACUAACAUAG